rnacentral:rRNA from 1 species
GAUCAUGGCUCAGGAUGAACGCUGGCGGCGCGCCUAACACAUGCAAGUCGAACGGCACCCACCCUCGGGUGGAAGCGAGUGGCGAACGGCUGAGUAACACGUGGAGAACCCGCCCCCUCCUCCGGGAUAGCCUCGGGAAACCGUGGGUAAUACCGGAUGACCCCGCAGGGCCGCAUGGCCCCGCGGGCAAAGCCCAGACGGGAGGGGAUGGCUCCGCGGCCCGACUCAGGUAGACGGCGGGGUGGACGGCCCGACCGUGCCGACGACGGG